GUGUUGUCGUCAGCUCGUGUCGUGAGAUGUUGGGUUUAAGUCCCGUAACGAGCGCAACCCUUGUCCUUAGUUACCAGCACGUUAAGGUGGGCACUCUAAGGAGACUGCCGGUGACAAACCGGAGGAAGGUGGGGAUGACGUCAAGUCAUCAUGGCCCUUACGGCCUGGGCUACACACGUGCUACAAUGGUCGGUACAAAGGGUUGCCAAGCCGCGAGGUGGAGCUAAUCCCAUAAAACCGAUCGUAGUCCGGAUCGCAGUCUGCAACUCGACUGCGUGAAGUCGGAAUCGCUAGUAAUCGUGAAUCAGAAUGUCACGGUGAAUACGUUCCCGGGCCUU
rnacentral:rRNA from 1 species